rnacentral:pre_miRNA from 2 species
UCUUAUGGAUGAGCAAAGAAACUGGUUUCUUGAGAUAGAAUCUACUCUUUGAGAAGAUGCCAUGAA